rnacentral:piRNA from 1 species
UGGAUUUAUCCCCUGGUGGACGGACU